rnacentral:rRNA from 1 species
GCAGUCUUAGUUCGGAUUGUAGGCUGCAACCCGCCUACAUGAAGUCGGAAUUGCUAGUAAUCGCGGAUCAGCAUGCCGCGGUGAAUACGUUCCCGGGCCUUGUACACACCGCCCGUCACACCAUGGGAGUUGGUAACACCCGAAGUCAGUAGCCUAACCGCAAGGAGGGCGCUGCCGAAGGUGGGAUCGAUGACUGGGGUGAAGUCGUAACAAGGUAUC